rnacentral:rRNA from 1 species
AGUGAACGCUGGCGGUAGGCCUAACACAUGCAAGUCGAACGGCAGCACAGUAAGAGCUUGCUCUUACGGGUGGCGAGUGGCGGACGGGUGAGGAAUACAUCGGAAUCUACUUUUUCGUGGGGGAUAACGUAGGGAGACUUACGCUAAUACCGCAUACGACCUACGGGUGAAAGCAGGGGAUCUUCGGACCUUGCGCGAUUGAAUGAGCCGAUGUCGGAUUAGCUAGUUGGCGGGGUAAAGGCCCACCAAGGCGACGAUCCGUAGCUGGUCUGAGAGGAUGAUCAGCCACACUGGAACUGAGACACGGUCCAGACUCCUACGGGAGGCAGCAGUGGGGAAUAUUGGACAAUGGGCGCAAGCCUGAUCCAGCCAUACCGCGUGGGUGAAGAAGGCCUUCGGGUUGUAAAGCCCUUUUGUUGGGAAAGAAAAGCGGCAGGUUAAUACCCCGCUGUUCUGACGGUACCCAAAGAAUAAGCACCGGCUAACUUCGUG